UUAUUUCUCGAAAGUAAAAGAUCUAAUUAGAUUUACUAGUUUUUGUGUCAAAAAAAUUUGGAAAAUUUAUUUAGGUGUGAGAUGUUAAUCGCUUUUACUGAUAUCUAGUAACUUUGGAAAAAAAUUUAGUUUGGUUUAUUGGGGAAUUCUUUACUAAGAAGAAGUUUUUUAUAUAACCUUAUAUUUUAGGGGAUGAGCUCUAAAAUAAAUUUAAAAGAUAAUAAAUAUUUAGAUUUUAGGUAGGCUUAGAAUUGGCCAUGAGAUAGUGUUAUAAGAUAGAAAUAGAGGUUUAAGAUUUAUUUUUCUUUAGUGUUUACAAAGUUUAUAAGGAAAUGUUUUAAUUAUUGAAAAUAUGAUAGUAUAAGUAGACAGAUAUAUUAGGAAUUAAGUUUGGAUAAUUCAUGGAAAAUAUAAUUAGGGUUUGUAGCAAAAGAACUCGGCAAAUAAGAUUUCCGAAUGUUUAACAAAAACAUUUCCUCUUGUUAAAAGGAGGUAAGGCCUGCUCACUGAAAUUUAAAGAGCCGCAGUAUUCUGACUGUGCUAAGGUAGCAUAAUCAUUAGUCUUUUAAUUGGAGACUGGUAUGAAUGGUUAAACGAGAAAUCAACUUUUUUUGCUAUAAAGAUUGAAUUUAAUUUUUUAGUGAAAAAGCUAAAAUUUUUCAGAAAGACGAGAAGACCCUAUAGAGUUUUAUAUCACGAAUAAUUUUCUUUUAGUAGGUUUUUUUGGAUAAAAUUUUUUUGUGAUAUUUUGUUGGGGCGACAUUAAGAUAAGAAAAACUCUUUAUUUUGAAAACUUUACUAAAAGAAUUAACUGAUCCUUUAGAAGAGAUCAUAAGAAAAAAUUACCUUAGGGAUAACAGCGUAAUCUUUUUUGAGAGUUCUAAUCGACAAAAAGGUUUGCGACCUCGAUGUUGGACUAAAAUUCAGGCA
rnacentral:rRNA from 1 species